rnacentral:rRNA from 1 species
AAAAAGAACCUGAAACCGUGUACGUACAAGCAGUGGGAGCACCUUCGGGUGUGACUGCGUACCUUUUGUAUAAUGGGUCAGCGACUUAUAUUCUGUAGCAAGGUUAACCGUAUAGGGGAGCCGCAGGGAAACCGAGUCUUAACUGGGCGUUAAGUUGCAGGGUAUAGACCCGAAACCCGGUGAUCUAGCCAUGGGCAGGUUGAAGGUUGGGUAACACUAACUGGAGGACCGAACCGACUAAUGUUGAAAAAUUAGCGGAUGACUUGUGGCUGGGGGUGAAAGGCCAAUCAAACCGGGAGAUAGCUGGUUCUCCCCGAAAGCUAUUUAGGUAGCGCCUCGUGAAUUCAUCUUCGGGGGUAGAGCACUGUUUCGGCUAGGGGGUCAUCCCGACUUACCAACCCGAUGCAAACUACGAAUACCGAAGAAUGUUAUCACGGGAGACACACGGCGGGUGCUAACGUCCGUCGUGAAGAGGGAAACAACCCAGACCGCCAGCUAAGGUCCCAAAGUCAUGGUUAAGUGGGAAACGAUGUGGGAAGGCACAGACAGCCAGGAUGUUGGCUUAGAAGCAGCCAUCAUUUAAAGAAAGCGUAAUAGCUCACUGGUCGAGUCGGCCUGCGCGGAAGAUGUAACGGGGCUAAACCAUGCACCGAAGCUGCGGCAGCGACACUAUGUGUUGUUGGGUAGGGGAGCGUUCUGUAAGCCUGCGAAGGUGACCUGUGAGGGUUGCUGGAGGUAUCAGAAGUGCGAAUGCUGACAUAAGUAACGAUAAAGCGGGUGAAAAGCCCGCUCGCCGGAAGACCAAGGGUUCCUGUCCAACGUUAAUCGGGGCAGGGUGAGUCGACCCCUAAGGCGAGGCCGAAAGGCGUAGUCGAUGGGAAACAGGUUAAUAUUCCUGUACUUGGUGUUACUGCGAAGGGGG